AUGUCUAAGCUCAGGAAUCUUGUACCAGCCACAACCUCUCCCCUCCAUGCACCAGCUUCGAACGGGAGCUGUGUCGCGUACGAGAGGGACGCGCUUCUCUCCGUCAAGGAGAGCCUCUGGGAGCCCAGUGUCAACCUCUCGUCGUGGCAAGGUGAAGAAUGCUGCAACUGGAAAGGCGUCAGGUGCAGCUACAAAACCGGCCACGUCGUCAAGCUCAAUCUUCGUGGAAGUGCUCAAGACUGCCUCAGAUACUCUGCAUAUAGAGGUGCGAUAAGCCACUCCUUGGUUACUUUACAGCAACUGAGGUAUCUAGACUUGAGCUGCAAUAGCUUCAACUGGUCUGAGAUACCGGAGUUCAUUGGUUCUUUUCCGAGCCUUAGAUAUCUAAACCUUUCAUAUAGCUUGUUCUAUGGGAGAGUACGCCCGCAUAUUGGGAACCUCUCCAAGCUUGCUUACCUGGAUCUCAAACUCCCAAGUUAUAACAUAUUGUACUCAAGUGAUCUUCGGUGGUUAUCACACCUGUCAUCACUGAAGCACCUCGACUUGAGCUAUAUUAACCUUACCACUGCAGUGGACUGGGUCCACCAAAUUAACAUCCUUCCAAACCUUAGAAAGCUUUAUCUACAACAUACUGGCCUCAGAAGCACACCUCCUUUCCUUGAUCAAUCCAAUCUUACGGCACUUGAGGUGCUUGACAUCUCAUGGAACAACUUCAACACCACCAUUGCUCCCAACUGGUUUUGGAACACAACGUCCCUCACUUCUCUAAACUUGCAAGCUUGUAGAUUCUAUGGCCCUAUUCCGGAACACAUUGGCAGCAUGGCCUCUCUUGAAGCAAUUUAUUUCUCGGGUAAUGAUCUCAUGUCCACCAUGAUACCAUCAAAUUUCAAAAAUCUGUGCAAUCUGAAGAUACUAGAUUUAUCAGGCAGCGACAUCUCAGGGGACAUCACAGAGUUGAUGGAGCGGUUACCAAACUGUCCUUCAAACAAGAUGCAAGUGUUGGAUUUGACUGAUAGUAUGGUAAGUGGCCCCAUGCCCAAUAUGGCAGGACCUCUUACAAACCUGACCUGCUUGGCCCUGUCUCAAAAUAAGCUUACAGGACCUAUACCGCAAUGGAUAUGGUCACUCACCGAAUUGCUUAUUUUGGAUCUAGAUGGAACCGAACUAAAUGGCGUAGUCACUGAAGAUCACCUAAAACGCCUUACAAAUUUGAAGAUCUUAGGUUUGGGCAAAACACUUCUUGAGAUCAAGGUCAGUCCGGAUUGGGUUCCUCCAUUCAAACUACGAGCAGUUGUCUUACAGGGUUUGCAGCUAGGGCCGGCGUUCCCAUCAUGGCUUAGAUCACAGACAAGCCAUGAAACCCUUAUGAUUGCAAAUGCAAGCAUAACUACAAUCCCAGAUUGGUUUUGGGUUGCAUUUUCAAGGGCAAAAAUUGUGGAUCUGUCCUAUAAUCAGAUAACUGGCACACUACCAGCAACAUUGGAAUUUAUGGCAGCAGAAGUAAUGGCUCUGUGCAGCAACAGAUUUACCGGUACAAUUCCAAAAUUUCCGAGAAAUACUAAAAUCAUGUACUUGUCAGUAAACUCUUUAUCAGGGACAUUGCCAUCAGAUUUCGGGGCACCGUUGUUGCAGGUUAUUAGCCUCUAUAACAAUUCAAUAUCAGGUCCGAUUCCAUCUUCAUUAUGCUCGUUGUCACAAUUGGCUUUUGUAGACCUAUCAGGGAACAAGCUGACAGGAGAAGUUCCAAGUUGUGAAGAGGAUUCUAACCCACCCAUGCAUAAUCUUAAUGUGGUAAAUUUGAAUACCAACAAUCUUUCAGGAGAGUUCCCAAGAGUUUUUCAAACCUGCCCCAACCUUGUUUUUGUUGAUCUUUCAUACAACAAAUUCUCUGGAGACCUACCCCUCUGGAUAGGGGUGAAGUUACCGUACUUAGCAUUGUUACGCUUGCGGUACAAUAUGUUUUCUGGCCAAAUUCCCACUGAAAUUGGAAAAUUUCAAGAGCUACAGUUUUUAGAUCUUGCACACAAUAACUUCUCAGGAAGCAUGCCGAACUCAUUAGUUAACUUGAGUGCAAUGGCCCGCACUUCUGGAUAUAGCAAUGUUCUUGGUAAUGCCAUUCAUCAUAGACAAGGGCCUAUUUUGUACAAUCUAGUAUAUGUUGAUAUCAAUGUAUUUUAG
rnacentral:rRNA from 1 species